GACGAACGCUGGCGGCGUGCUUAACACAUGCCAGUCGAACGGAAAGGCCCUGCUUUUGUGGGGUGCUCGAGUGGCGAACGGGUGAGUAACACGUGAGUAACCUGCCCUUGCCUUUGGGAUAACUUCAGGAAACUGGGGCUAAUACCGGAUAGGAGCUCCUGCUGCAUGGUGGGGGUUGGAAAGUUUCGGCGGUUGGGGAUGGACUCGCGGCUUAUCAGCUUGUUGGUGGGGUAGUGGCUUACCAAGGCUUUGACGGGUAGCCGGCCUGAGAGGGUGACCGGCCACAUUGGGACUGAGAUACGGCCCAGACUCCUACGGGAGGCAGCAGUGGGGAAUAUUGCACAAUGGGCGGAAGCCUGAUGCAGCAACGCCGCGUGCGGGAUGACGGCCUUCGGGUUGUAAACCGCUUUCGCCUGUGACGAAGCGUGAGUGACGGUAAUGGGUAAAGAAGCACCGGCUAACUACGUG
rnacentral:rRNA from 1 species